CCCCUCUCAGAGUCCACAUGGAGAGUUUCCAGGACUCUACCAGUCUCGGCAAAGGGAGGGAGAGUCAAGCAGAAACCGUACAUUCCAUUCCUAGCUUGAGCAGUGGCUAGCGAGUGGAAGGCAAUCUGCUACAAGU